UGCUUCAUACCUCAGUCACACAGUCUCACUCUGAAAAAUCUCACAGCUAUGGCUAUGACCACCUUACUCUACCUUCAAAAUCCUCUCUUUGUUCGCAAACCCACAAAACCCAUUACCUCUUCAACUCCAAAAGUCCCAAACACAUGGAACAUUGCAAACCCAAGUCCAGGAGCGUACCAAUUGUGUUGCCAUCCAGAACCCGAAGGCCAUGGUGGCUAUAUUAGGGGCGGGUUUGGCACUGACCCUCGUGGGACCCGCCUCAUCUGCGGAGCCACCCUCUCUGCAACUCACUGAGCCCGCCAAUGCUCUCUCCUUGCCCAACUGGGCCGUGCACGUGUCCAGUGUGGUCGAAUGAAUUUCGAUAUUCAGAGUAGUAUUCAGAAUUUGCAAUCUGCACACUACAUUCGGGCAGUAUUGUAUCCUGAGGACAAAAUUGUUGUAUUCCCUUUUGCAGAACUUAUUGUUUAAGUAGGAGGAUUGCAGCAAUGGCUUUGGUGUGGCAAUAUGGGGAGCAAUCCGGUUAUGAGUCUUGGAAAGGACUCUCCUGGGGUAUGGUACCCCUGUUAGGUGGAGCAUUUUGUGCAUGCACAUGGCAUUUCUUUUAUAACUCUGAGUCUCUUGAGGUAUUGGUGGCUCUUCAAGCAGCAUUAACAGUUAUAAGUAAUACCACGAUGUGUAUUGCUGCAUUCCGAAUAUACAAAUCGUCAGAAGAUAGCUCCAAGAAUAUCUGAAAGUUUCUGCACCUGCAUACUUAUAUGUGUGCCUUCAUAAACCUUUUCCCUGUCUUCUGCCUCCCUGUUGGAUAGUUGCUGUUUUGACUGAUAAGCACUGCACCUGAUCAACCCAAAUCAGUGAAAUUUCCUUGAACUGCAAGCUUGUGAAUCUUGUUCUGCCGCUUGUUAAAAUAUGAAAAAUAUCAAUCAUGGGCUCUUGACAUGGUACAUUCAAGGACAAUGAUAGAGCCAAAUGGAUGGUAGUCCCGCAAUUUGGACAGCCUCGCAAAGAGGGGGUUGUAGGGCUCACCUGUUUCAGGCAGUCAGGGUGCGAGAUCUACUUGGCUUAUGUAGAUGAGUACUAUAGUCUUCUCUUUAUAGGGCUGCUGAAUUACUAGCAAUUCGGACAACUAAUUGCCCUUCUAACUCAUGGUCACGUAGAAUUCAGAGCUUGAAGAAGUGUGGGUCAAAGCUUCCAAUUGCUUACCUUUUACCAUACAUAAAUGGCUAAAAGCUUAGGGGAAUUUUGUUCUUCUUCUUUUAGUCCUAUCCAUGGAACUGUUGCCACGACAAUAGUGUUUAUGCUUCAUGCCUAGAAUGUGGAUGUGAUGGGACCAAAUCUCAUUUACAUUAAGAAAUGAGAAUUUAAGGGAUGGGAGAAAGUUCUAUUGUGUAGCUCAUAGGUUAGGAUGAUUUAAAUUGUAAUGCUCCGGUAAGAUAAAUGCAUUAUUUUACAUUA